GCUCUCCAACACCCUUCAAUUCUCCAAAACCUAAACACAAAGAUUGUUCUGGCGCCACUAAAAAGCUUCGGCUAAUUAGUCCAGAGUAUGUCAUAUACACUGACACAGAACUAGAACUAGCAAGAAGUGCUUACUUUGAAAAGCAGCGUGCUGGACAAGACAAAGACUACACCAUGCCAAAAGACUUGCUCUGUAGACUCAUUAGGAAUACAGUAACAGGCAUGAUUGCUAUGAAAAGAGCGUCCGAGGAUGAUUUUAAGUACCCAGGCUCCCGUGAACUGACUGCCAUGGCUAAGCGUCUAGUAGAAUACUACCCAAUGCUGUGAGACAAGUCUACGUCCAAUACACCUGAAUGGUUAAGUCUCUCAUUGUGUUGAGGAAUUUUUUUUUUAAUCUGUUACCAAUGGUAAUAAUAGUUUGUUUUUAUUGUUUUGUUAUUUUAGGAAAUGGUGAAGAAGCAGUUGUUGAAAAGGGUUCAGAAUGUGACAACUCCAAAAAAGAAGCAAGGUCCAACCCCAUCAAGAAAAGGACCUAGAAGCCUAAAAUUCCAGAGCAGCCAGGCGACGUGCACUGAAGAGAGUGAUGAACCUUUCUCCUCCCCUGCUUCAGUCUCUUCAGCUGCUUCAUCAGUCGCCUCGUCGUCUUCCUCCACUGUGAUCCUAGAGAAGUCAACUCCUUCUACAAGUACUUCCCAAGAGGUGGAUCUCUAUAGUGCUAUAGAGAGCCCACAGAGCCAAGCGAGACACUAUAAAACUCUGCAGGAUUUGUACAAAACUAAGAACAAACCCAACAAGGAAGAUGUAUCCCAGCUGCUGGAAUUGGAGUUCCAAUCUAGACGAGCUUUCAUUGACUCUGAUGUGAUGAAGGAACAGGACAGGCCUAUGAAGAUACUGCAGGCUUAUCCAUGUUUUAAAGAACUUGGCCAUAUCAUCGAUGAACUCCAGCGAAUCCUUGAUAAAGGAAACCCCUUCUUCACAAUGGAGCUGAAGAAACGUUGGCUGAGAUUUUUUAACCAGGCACAGUUUUAUGGGGUGUUCAAAAAAAUCAUAGGACCACCACUGCAGGACCAAGGUAAGGAUGAUUUAUUUGCUGUUACCCACAUACACAAAGACCUAAAAUUAUUAUGAUUUAUUAUUAUUGUUUAAACAGUAAAGAAUGCACUUGCUGUCCUGAAAGUACUGCCUCAGAUGUUCCCUUCGCAUGUAGCUCUGCUGAAGAGGUUGGGACACCCAAGUGAUGCUUUGAUUCACAUUUUGAAGGUAAGGUUAAUAUACAUAUAUACACACACACACACACACAUAUAAUUAGAAUAUCAUGAAAAAGUUCAUUUAUUUCUGUAAUUCAACUUAAAAUGUGGAACUAAUAUGUGAUAUAGACUCAACAUGCAAAGUGACAUAAUGUCAAGCCUUUAUUUUUUUAUAAUUUGGAUGAUUAUGGCUUACAGUCCAUUUUCAAAAUAUUCAAAUUUUAUGAGAUUUUUAAUUUGGGGUUUUUACAAGCUGAGCCAUAAUAAUCAAAAUUAUAACAAAUAAAGGCUAUACAUAUCUCA
ensembl:lncRNA